GUGGGGAAUAUUGGACAAUGGGCGAAAGCCUGAUCCAGCCAUGCCGCGUGUGUGAAGAAGGUCUUCGGAUUGUAAAGCACUUUAAGUUGGGAGGAAGGGCAGUAAGUUAAUACCUUGCUGUUUUGACGUUACCGACAGAAUAAGCACCGGCUAACUUCGUGCCAGCAGCCGCGGUAAUACGAAGGGUGCAAGCGUUAAUCGGAAUUACUGGGCGUAAAGAGCGCGUAGGUGGUUUUGUAAGUUGGAGGUGAAAUCCCCGGGCUCAACCUGGGAACUGCCUCCAAAACUGCAGGACUAGAGUACGGUAGAGGGUAGUGGAAUGUCCUGUGUAGCGGUGAAAUGCGUAGAUAUAGGAAGGAACACCAGUGGCGAAGGCGACUACCUGGACUGAUACUGACACUGAGGUGCGAAAGCGUGGGGAGCAAACAGGAUUAGAAACCCGUGUAGUCC
rnacentral:rRNA from 1 species